AAUUCUCUUACACUAGAUAGGUUUAUUAAAGCAUUUUAUAUAUUUACUCUAGCAACAAAAUUUUUUAUCUUGACAUUUAACGAUGAAUUUUUACAUAAUCUUAACAUUAUUGAUUUUUAUAAUUAUGUGAAAUUUUUGACUCAUCGUUGGAAAUUCUUAUAAAUGACUAUGUAUAUUCAAAGAAAGCUACAGGUUAUUUUUUACUUUAUCACUCAUGUGCCUAAUAUUUUUU
rnacentral:lncRNA from 1 species